rnacentral:rRNA from 1 species
UUCCGGUUGAUCCCGCCGGAGGCGACCGCUAUUGGAGUUCGAUUAAGCCAUGCGAGUCUAGAGGCUUAGGCCUCGGCGUACCGCUCAGUAGCACGUGGAUAACCUGCCCUGUUCAGGGGGAUAACCUCGCGAAAGUGAGAAUAAUACCCUAUAGUUCACCAUGCCUGGAACGGUUGGUGGAUGAAAGCUCUGGCGGAACAGGAUGGGUCUGCGGCGUAUCAGGUAGUAGGGGGUGUAAUGGACCUCCUAGCCCUCGACGCGUACGGGUUGUGGGAGCAAUCGCCCGGAGAUGGAUUCUGAGACACGAAUCCAGACCCUACGGGGUGCAGCAGGCGCGAAAACUUGACAAUGCGAGAAAUCGUGAUCAGGGAACUCCAAUUGUCCCCGUUUUUACGGGGUUCUGAAUUGACUCUAAACAGGUCGAGUAAUAGGGGCGGGAAAUAUCGGUGCCAGCCGCCGCGGUAAUACCGAAGCCCCAAGUGGUCGUCGUUCUUAUUGGGCCUAAAACGUCCGUAGCCGGUUUGGUACAUUCGUGGGUAAAUCAGACAGCUUAACUGUCUGAAUUCUGCGAGCACGGCCAAACUUGAGACCGGGAGAGGUGUAGGGUACCUGCGGGGUAGGGGUAAAAUCCUGUCAUCCCGUAGGGACCACCAGUUGCGAAGGCUCUACACUAGAACGGAUCUGACGGUCAGGGACGAAGCCUAGGGGCACGAACCGGAUUAGAUACCCGGGUAGUCCUAGGUGUAAACGCUGUGGACUUUGUGUCGGGAAUUCUUCGAGGAUUCUCGGUGCCGGAGUGAAGAUGUUAAGUCCACUGCCUGGGGAGUACGGUCGCAAGGCUGAAACUUAAAGGAAUUGGCGGGGGAGCACUGCAACGAGAGGAGCGUGCGGUUUAAUUGGAAUCAACGCCGGGC